CAGCAGCCGCGGUAAUACCGGCGGCCCGAGUGGUGGCCGCUAUUAUUGGGCCUAAAGCGUCCGUAGCCGGGCUGGUAAGUCCUCCGGGAAAUCUGGUCGCUUAACGAUCAGACUUCCGGAGGAUACUGCUGGCCUAGGGACCGGGAGAGGCCGAGGGUAUUCCCGGGGUAGGGGUGAAAUCCUGUAAUCCCGGGAGGACCACCUGUGGCGAAGGCGCUCGGCUGGAACGGGUCCGACGGUGAGGGACGAAGGCCAGGGGAGCGAACCGGAGUAGAUACCCGGGUAGUCCUGGCUGUAAACGAUGCGGACUAGGUGUCGGGCAAGCUAAGGGCUUGUCCGGUGCCGCAGGGAAGCCGUUAAGUCCGCCGCCUGGGGAGUACGGCCGCAAGGCUGAAACUUAAAGGAAUUGGCGGG
rnacentral:rRNA from 1 species